AACAAGGUUUCCGUAGGUGAACCUGCGGAAGGAUCAUUAUCGAGUUUUGACCGGGUUGUAGCUGGCCUUCCGAGGCAUGUGCACGCCCUGCUCAUCCACUCUACACCUGUGCACUUACUGUGGGCUUCAGAUUGCGAGGCACGCUCUUUACCGGGCUUGCGGAGCAUAUCUGUGCCUGCGUUUAUCACAAACUCUAUAAAGUAACAGAAUGUGUAUUGCGAUGUAACACAUCUAUAUACAACUUUCAGCAACGGAUCUCUUGGCUCUCGCAUCGAUGAAGAACGCAGCGAAAUGCGAUAAGUAAUGUGAAUUGCAGAAUUCAGUGAAUCAUCGAAUCUUUGAACGCACCUUGCGCUCCUUGGUAUUCCGAGGAGCAUGCCUGUUUGAGUGUCAUGAAAUCUUCAACCUACAAGCUUUUGUGGUUUGUAGGCUUGGACUUGGAGGCUUGUCGGCCGUUAUCGGUCGGCUCCUCUUAAAUGCAUUAGCUUGGUUCCUUGCGGAUCGGCUCUCGGUGUGAUAAUGUCUACGCCGCGACCGUGAAGCGUUUGGCGAGCUUCUAACCGUCUUAUAAGACAGCUUUAUGACCUCUGACCUCAAAUCAGGUAGGACUACCCGCUGAACUUAAGCA
rnacentral:rRNA from 1 species